ACGAAAGCCCCGUGUUGUAAAUUCUAACUGUCAAAUGUACCCGAGCUGGGUGGAAAAACAUUUUAAGCGAAGGCAAUGACCAAAUUUUCGCUCACCCUUUAUCUUUUGCUUGAUACUGAUUAAACAUGCUUCGUGAUAUGAGGUACAAUACAUACUACCAGGGCCGUAGCAAAGACUAACAAUCUUUCAGUCCGUUUAAAGAUAAAAACACAUGGAUUUGAAACGAAAAACGAAUUAAUUGAAAAGCAUCGGCAAUCGCGAGUUACUGUGGAUUUCAUGAAAUGCAAGACAAUCAAUUAAAUUCCUCGAUUAGAACGCGAAAGACUUUUCUUCUCAAAGGGACGUUACUUUGAGCUGGCUGCAGCCCUGGUCCUCUACACUGACUUCCUCAAGAAAUCCCAACUCUUUCUCCAUCGUUUCCUUGCUGCGUGUUGAUUCAGGAUGUCGUGCGAACGGAUGGGACUCUCUUUCGGAUACGGUGGAAAAUUGAGGUUGAUGGCAAGAGGUUGGGGAUUAUCUCACAAAUAUUUGGGAGCAAUUAGAUGUUUGCGCGUCUGUUACCGUGUUUAUAUGGUUUGCCGUAUCUAGAACGACGAGACGUGUUUAUAACUGCGUGCGAUACGAACGAAGAAGUUCUCCUCGUUCUCAUUAGACGCGUAUUCCAUUGUGCCAUAACUUUCGAAUUGUAUGAUUUCCUUGCCGGCCUCUUGAAACUGAGAUAAUUUUUCACAUCUUCACAUCGGUGAACGCGAAGAUGUUUCAAACAAAUCGUACGUGAAAGGAAGACAUGAACAUUUAUUUUUCUUGCGCUUUUAUGACAUUGCGUAUUCAUGGAAUUGUUAAACCAAAACAAUAAGACGGAAGAAAACGUGAGUAGCUACGAAGAGACGAGGAUGAGGAUUAUGGACGAUGUUCAAUGUUUAACGAAUCGAGCUAGGACAUGCAGUAAAUAGAGAAAAUCGCUCACCCGGUUUUGGCUGGUUCUGAUACGAAGGUCUCCUCAUCCAUCCAAACGGGCUCCUGCUCGGGCCUCGCGCAUUCGCCGAGUACACGUCGCGGGACUGCUGGUUCAUAUUGUUAGACGCGUACUGUAGAUUCGUGUUAUGUGACGACGACGUGGACGGUGUGCUGAGAUCACGGGACGUAGAUGAGGAUGCAGUCGCAGAUGCGGAUGUUGGAUUAUGGAAAUCGCGAUUUGUGACGGUGGACGGUAUGUUUGAAUCGUUGGCCGCACCGAUGGACCCUGACGGUACGUUGAGAUGCGACCCGAUGGUGGACGGUACGGUGAGAUCUUGCGAUGUGGUCGGCGAACUGAUACCAGCCGUGAAGGAAAGAUUGUUCGCCGUAUGGGGAGUCUGGUUGAAUCCAUUACCGCCACUAUUGUGGCUGUAUGGGGUGGACGGGGUGCUAGGGUGACUGAUUUCACUGCUGCUGCCGGUUACUUGUCGGGAAUUUGGCCCGCCGUUGGCGUUUGUAGCAGCAUUGUUGGCCCACUCCGUCGCCUGCAGUUGUUGCAUUUGCGCCUGGUGUUGUGAUUGCGGGUACUGUUGAAAUUGCGAAUAGGGCUGCGGAGGAGGGGGGUAUGGAAGAUGCGUGUAAUGAUGGUGCGUCCACGCGAAUAUCUCGGUGUGGUCGACGUACUGAUGCGAGCCAGGCGUUGGAGGUUGCUGAUGGUUCAUGUGCAAUGCCCCAUGAGGAUAGCCGUGCCAGUGCGACGCGUCGAUGCUCGCUGCGAUCGCUUGCUGAUGUAUUUGUGGGAAUUGCUGAUGCUGAGUCAACGACUGCGACGUUAGCGGCUGCGACGGUGCGUGCUGCGUCUGGGGAUGUACGUUUCGUUGCGGCUGAUAGUACGUAGCACCCAGCGAGUUGAAGUAUGCGCUAAUAUUUACAUUGGUACUCGAUUCUGACAUGCUGCUAGCGGCUCGUUAUCCCUGAUGUAACACGACAGGGUUCACUUUCUGCACCGGAACAGAUAAGCGUGGAGAAUCCUCCACGCAAACUUGGCCGCCACUUUAGAAAAUCACGUAUUGGAACAUUAUCGAAAUCGUCGAGCCGUGCUUAUUCGCAAAAAUAGAAAUUCAGAACUUCGCGAACGGGGUGACACGAGAGGCGUAUUGGGCGAGCCGACGGAACGGGACGUGGCAGCAAUAGAACGGCUCUAUGCUGACUGCCGAAAGAAUUCGCAAUGUGAAGACUGUCAGCUGCCCCGACCUUGUGAAGAGCCCCUACAUCAGGUAUUUAACGGCUGCGCACCGUCCGCCCACGACUGGUCUGGAAUCCCCACCAAAUAUUUCUGCUCGACCAAUCACAGCCGUCUACCUGAGUUAUUCAGCGUAAUGGCGUUCGACGAGAAUGUUCCUACCCUCGAAGAUAUCAUCCGUUAACAGAAAGAGAAGCGAGAAGGCGGCCCCCGCGGCCCCACCAUCUCGAUGAGCCGCACGGAGUUUACACCUUCGACAGAGCAGCUUCUUAGUUAUUAAUAAGAAUUAAUACUCUCACUUGUUUUUGUUAGAUUUUGUUGAGUUUUUGUUCAUUCGUUCAAUCUGAAUCUGCGUUCUAGAUUGUGUCUCUAAUGUGACGCCGUGUGUAGAAGUUGCUUUGUGAGCAGAAUAAUAGUGAAUCAAAUAAUAGUCUGGUGAAUUUGCUGUGUAUGAGAUAAGAAGGUAAAAAUCUCUUUGUUUGAUCGGGCCAGCUCCUGCUAGCUCAGCAAUAUGAUAGCACUGACUACACUGACUUUAAGCACACAAAGCGCUAAAAUCAAAUAAAACAAAUUUCAUUUUUUCAGUACGUUGAUAAUUUUAAGUCAAGUAUGCGUUGAAUGCAAAUUUUACAUUUUUCUAUAAA